CAUGGCCCGCCAAGAGCGCCACCUUGCAAAUUCCGGCUAUGGCCGCGUCCGCUCACUGAUCGAAGCCCGUUCGUCCUUCUCCCGAAAGAUCGGCUAACGGAGGGGAAGAGGCGCCCCAAAAUUCCACACCUGGGUCAGCUGCUGCGGUAAGCCGCGAAUCCCACCAGCAGCGCGAUGCUGGACUACUACAAAAUCCUGGGCGUCCAGCAAACGGCCCCGCUGGAGGAGAUCAAGAAGGCCUACCGGCGGCUGUGCCUGCGCUGGCACCCCGACAAAAACCCGGACAACAAGGAGAAGGCCGAGCAGAACUUCCGCAGCGUGGCGCAGGCCUACCAGACGCUGUCGGACGAGAAGAAGCGCAAGGACUACGACUACCAGUGUGCCCUCCUGCGUGGCCGUGCCCGCCAUCCGCCACGGAGGCAGACGGCCCCGAGCCCCUUCUCGACGCUCGAGGAAAUCAUCAAGGGUAUCCACCGCAGGUCCUGGGACGCUGGUCCGGCGCCCCCGGACUGCCCUGGAGCGAGUGCGUCCUCGUAUACGUCCACACCGUCGCCGUUCGCGGCGCGCAGGCCGUCCGGCUCCCGGCGCCACGGCGGCUUCCACGCGGGCAUCCGGGUGGAGGCCGGCGCGGACGGGUUCCGCAUGGUGCACCACUGCACGCUGGGUCGCGGCGCGGCGCCGACGACAACGCGGGUGACGCAAACCUCGUUCACGGUGCACAAGCCGACCUCAGCGGCGACGGCGGCGGUGGUCGGGCACCACCGGCCCGCUAUCCCUACUAGCCGGCCCAGGCUCUACGAGGUGCGCACGGUGAUUUGCGACGGCGUCCAGAGGGUGUGCUGCUACGAGGACGGCGUCAGGGUGUCUACCAUGGCCCACCCCGUGGCUCCCGUGCGUCAGUCAGAGAUACAACCCAUGGUAUUGACUCAUCGGACCGCAACCUGAAGCUUCGUAAAUGGAGGGCAGCUGGGACACCAACAUUUCUUUACUCCGCCGGCCAAUAUGACCGGGCGCAGCGCACCAAACUGCACAAACCGCGCGGAGGGUGGCAAAGCCUUUUACGCGGUGCCGUGUGGACAGACAGACGUGUGCCGGCGACUGGUAUGGCUACUGCGUAUGGGCCGAGACCGGCCGGCUCCGAAAGGAACCAGGAUAUGCGAGACCACGUACUUGACAAAAAACCACAUGGCCUGCAAUAAUGAAAGGUCUGAAGUCGGACGCAGUCUCAAGCAUCUUUUCCUUUGCUUUGAAUUCGGCCCCCCAAGGCUCCAAGAACCAUCACUCUUGCCCUGCUGCCAGCAGCUAUGGUGAUCCAUUCCCUUAUACGAAAUAAAUUUGAUUAAGAAGCUCC